rnacentral:rRNA from 1 species
UACGUAGGGGGCAAGCGUUGUCCGGAAUUACUGGGCGUAAAGCGCACGUAGUCGGCUUUGCAAGUCGGGUGUGAAAUCCCCGGGCUCAACCUGGGAACUGCAUCCGAGACUGCAUUGCUAGAGUAUGGGAGAGGGAAGCGGAAUUUCUGGUGUAGCAGUGAAAUGCGUAGAUAUCAGAAGGAACAUCAGUGGCGAAGGCGGCUUCCUGGACCAAUACUGACGAUCAGGUGCGAAAGCGUGGGGAGCAAACAGG